rnacentral:rRNA from 1 species
UACGGAGGGUGCAAGCGUUAAUCGGAAUUACUGGGCGUAAAGCGCACGCAGGUGGCUGAGUCAGUCGAUUGUGAAAGCCCUGGGCUUAACCUAGGAAUUGCAGUCGAUACUACUCAGCUAGAGUAUGGGAGAGGGCAGUGGAAUUCCCGGUGUAGCGGUGAAAUGCGUAGAUAUCGGGAAGAACACCCGUGGCAAAGGCGGUUCUCUGGGACGGUACUGACGCUGAGACGCGAAAGCGUGGGGAGCGAACAGG